rnacentral:misc_RNA from 1 species
GCGAAGUUCGGAAUGCAUGUUCGGUGUUGAUGCUGCCCAGCGAUGGGAUGUGCUCGCUCGGAUGUGUGUCCCUUCUCUAUCCACCCCAUUGUGAACCAAGUGUGUGAGCCGAAGAGAAAUCGGACGCUCGCAUGCAAACCUUUAACAUACCCCAAUGAAGUAUCAGAAUGUACCUUGCGUUAACUCGCACAAAUA